GAAUAUUGCUCAAUGGAGGAGACUCUGAUGCAGCGACGCCGCGUGAACGAUGAAGGCUUUCGAGUCGUAAAGUUCUGUCCUAGGGGACGAUAAUGACGGUACCCCAGGCGGAAGCCCCGGCUAACUACGUCCCAGCAGCCGCGGUAAUACGUAGGGGGCAAGCGUUGUCCGGAAUUAUUGGGCGUAAAGGGUUCGCAGGUGGCCUUUUAAGUCAGAUGUGAAAGCCCACGGCUUAACCGUGGUAAGCAUUUGAAACUGGAAGGCUUGAGUUAAGGAGAGGAAAGUGGAAUUCCUAGUGUAGUGGUGAAAUGCGUAGAUAUUAGGAGGAAUACAAGUGGCGAAGGCGACUUUCUGGACUUAUACUGACACUGAGGAACGAAAGCGUGGGGAGCAAACAGG
rnacentral:rRNA from 1 species